rnacentral:misc_RNA from 1 species
CCAAACUUGGUCAUUUAGAGGAAGUAAAAGUCGUAACAAGGUUUCCGUAGGUGAACCUGCGGAAGGAUCAUCAUUGAAUAAUAAUAAUAUCAAGCCUUUUGAGGGGGGGUUUCUUCUCUUAGGGGGCUUGCAAACAACUUUAAUACCCAAAAAGAUAAUUUUUCUCAAGGUUUUCAGCUUGUUGAGCUCAUUUGUUUGAGUUUGGGUUGAUAACUGGAGAAAAGGAAAAGAGUGAUGAGGGGAGACCCUCUGAACUCUUGAAAUAUAAAACAUGCGGUUGCCUGAUAAAAAAAAGUGUUUGGUUUAUUUGGGAAUGUGAAACAACUUUCAACAAUGGAUCUCUUGGCUCUCACAUCGAUGAAGAACGCAGC